CAGCAAGAGGCCCCCCCGCAGCGGCUCCCGACUGUCGGGCUCGCCAGCCUCGGCUUCCUACAUGGAAGAUCCGCGGGGGCAAAAAACGGAAGGCGUUCGGCUGAGCUGCUGGAAGGAGUAACCGGAUCUCCUCAAAUUCCGUGCACACGAAGACUCGGAGGAGGGGUCCGAGCGGACUUCACCCCGCAUGAGAUGUCUGGCGAAAUAAAGGCUCAAAAUCUAAUAACCAAAUAUGCAAAGCCCCGAAUGAAAAACACCACCACCUCCUCGCACACUGGAGAUCUGGGGCCGUCAGACUUGAGCUGGGGUUUAAAAAAAAAAAAAGAAAAAGAAAAUGUUUACAAAGUAGAACAAGACGUUUGAAGGGUGGAAAAAAAUGUAUCCACGAGUUACAUCUCCCCUUCUUCCUUGCAGAUCCCCGCUGGUCUUCCUCUCCGUUUCUUCUGCCAAAAAAAAAAAA